UACGUAGGGGGCUAGCGUUGUCCGGAAUCAUUGGGCGUAAAGAGCGUGUAGGCGGCUUGGUAAGUCCGCUGUGAAAGUCCAGGGCUCAACCCUGGAAUGCCAGUGGAUACUGUCAAGCUAGAGUCCGGAAGAGGCGAGUGGAAUUCCUGGUGUAGCGGUGAAAUGCGCAGAUAUCAGGAGGAACACCAAUGGCGAAGGCAGCUCGCUGGGACGGUACUGACGCUGAGGAGCGAAAGCGUGGGGAGCGAACAGG
rnacentral:rRNA from 1 species